rnacentral:lncRNA from 1 species
UGAACAAGGAACUUGAGAAGUAAAGCACAAAGGCAUGGACACUUUAUGUGCCAUGAUUCUUCACUUACAAAUUGUUGUAUGAAGAAAUGAGAGUUGCCUUGAACAACUCUUGAAAGUUUGCAAUUGUGUUUAGAACAUAAUGGUUGGUUGACAAAAAUAGUCCAUCAACAUGGACUUAUGAUGAUGAUUUUGAAUCAUUGAGUGUUGAAGUGUUAAACCACUUCUAGAGACGGAAACUAGGCAAGGACUUCACCUUUCGUGUCCCUAUCCAAAUGGUUCACUAAGUUUAUUGUAAACUAUAUAGUGAACAAUAACCACAUGCGCUCUCCAAAUUGUUUGAUGUGUAUAACACAAUUGAAAUAAGUUUCAAGAGAGAUAGUGGGAGUUUAGGG